UACAGAGGUCCCGAGCGUUGUUCGGAUUCAUUGGGCGUAAAGGGUGCGUAGGCGGCGGGGCAAGUCUGAUGUGAAAAUCCCGGGGCUCAACCCCGGAACUGCAUUGGAUACUGCCUUGCUUGAGUACUGGAGAGGGAACUGGAAUUUACGGUGUAGCAGUGAAAUGCGUAGAGAUCGUAAGGAAGGCCAGUGGCGAAGGCGAGUUCCUGGACAGUUACUGACGCUGAGGCACGAAGGCCAGGGGAGCAAACGGG
rnacentral:rRNA from 1 species